rnacentral:tRNA from 1 species
UGGCUCAGUGGUUAAGAACUUGACUGCUAAUCAAAAGGUUGGUGGUUCAAAUCCACC